rnacentral:rRNA from 1 species
AUUGAACGCUGGCGGCAGGCCUAACACAUGCAAGUCGAGCGGUAACAGAGAGAAGCUUGCUUCUCUGCUGACGAGCGGCGGACGGGUGAGUAAUACUUGGGAAUUUGCCUUUAGGCGGGGGACAACCACGGGAAACUGUGGCUAAUACCGCAUAAUGUCUACGGACCAAAGUGGGGGACCUUCGGGCCUCACACCUAAAGAUGAGCCCAAGCGGGAUUAGCUAGUUGGUGGGGUAAAGGCUCACCAAGGCGACGAUCCCUAGCUGUUCUGAGAGGAUGAUCAGCCACACUGGGACUGAGACACGGCCCAGACUCCUACGGGAGGCAGCAGUGGGGAAUAUUGCACAAUGGGGGAAACCCUGAUGCAGCCAUGCCGCGUGUGUGAAGAAGGCCUUCGGGUUGUAAAGCACUUUCAGCGACGAGGAAGGGUGUUGUGUUAAUAGCGCAGCGC